rnacentral:piRNA from 1 species
UCAGAUGUCCCUACUAACUUGAUGGC